rnacentral:rRNA from 1 species
CAAUAGCGUAUAUUAAAGUUGUUGCAGUUAAAAAGCUCGUAGUUGGAUUUCUGGUGGGAGCGAUCGGUCUGGCGCUUAGCGCGAGUACUUGCAUCGUCUCCGGCCAUCCUUGGGGAGAGUCUGUCUGGCAUUAAGUUGUCGGGCAGAGGAUCCUCAUCGUUUACUGUGAAAAAAUUAGAGUGUUCAAAGCAGGCUUAUGCCGUUGAAUAUAUUAGCAUGGAAUAAUAAGAUAGGAAUUUGGUACUAUUUUGUUGGUUUGCGCACCAAAGUAAUGAUUAAUAGGGACAGUUGGGGGUAUUCGUAUUCCGUUGUCAGAGGUGAAAUUCUUGGAUUUACGGAAGACGAACUACUGCGAAAGCAUUUACCAAGGAUGUUUUCAUUAA